GCGCACCCGCGGGGACCCCCGGCACCCCAGGGUGCUUCGGAGAGGGCCCAGCUAAAGCGGUCUUUAGACCCCCGGUGGUUUUCCCCCGCAUUUUGGGAGCUGCUAAGCUCCUGGCAGCUCCCGGCCAAGGCUUCGCUGCUCCGUGCAAAGUUGGGCUAUUUCCCCCCGCGGCUUUUCGCAGCAAAUCUCCUCUCUAAAAAGCAAAAAAAAUCCCUCUUUUCCCACUCGGCUGUUACCUUGCGGAGCGCAAAAACGGACUUUAGGCGUAUUUAACCCAGCCGUCUUCAUCUGUAAUUGCGGAUGAGGAGUAUUUAUUGCUUAGGUGGAUAAAUAGAGAAAUAAUUGUCUCUUUAUGGAGAGAAUGUGAAAUAAAGCAUCUGUCUCUCCCCCCGCGCACCCAGACACCCGGACGCACACAAAGGCGCUCAGAGCAGGCACGAGUUACACAUCUGCACGGCUCCCGGCUUUCCCGAGGGGUUUCCAAAGGGCCUUCCCAAAAGCGGCCUGCCCCCAAACUUUAAAGGAAUCAUCCCAAGAAAAUGAAAUCGCGCUGCCGGGUGGUUUUUUUUUUUCCUGCGUGGGAGAAAAGCGAAUAUUUGCCAAGAGGAGCCGCGCUCGCUGCCGCGAUUCCCGCGUGAGAACGUAAAAAUUGGGGCUGUUUUUUUUAUUUUCGCAAGAUGCGAACACGUCUGCCGUGGAGGAAAUUAAACAUCAUAAAGAAAAGCCCAAUUAAGGUUUAAUGUCUGAACAUUACCAUUUCCUCCAGAAAACAAUGAAGUUCGCUCGGCUGAAUUUUGCAACGGCCCCAGGAGCACGCUGCGAAGUCUCACUCGAAUUCACCAAACCUCGCUUUUUCACAUGCUUCAGCAGCUCCCUGAAAUGUAGCUGUGCCGAGAGAGGAAAAAAAAGUAAAUAAAUACAUUAAAGCACACACACGUUUACAUUCCCCCCGGCCUCGGCGCAGCUCAUCUCUUCCCGUGGGUCGGUAGGGAAGGACCCAAGUCCUCGACCGGGGCUGGUGAGAAAAAAUCCCGAAUAAAUGUGCAGCCUGAUUGGCUUUCGCAGGAGAAAAGUGUUAGUUAUACGGGUUAUGAUUAAGCCCAACUCUCCUUAACGCCUCCGCGGCAUCGCUCCCAUUUGAAUCCGACACCCGGUCGCACAUUUCUAUCCCAGACAGUCGCAGCGUUGACUGCGGUUGGGAAACAUAGUUUAUCUGCUUUUAUCUUGAUUAAGUCCACAUGAUUUUGAACUCGCAGCUCAAGCCUAGAGAGAUCUAAGUCGUUUUUUUCCCUUUGAAUUGUUCACAGCUUAUAUAGUUUUCUGUAGCAGCUUGGCUUGCAUCCAAUUAAAUUUAUCUUUGCCAUUUGGGGACAAUAAUAUUUCCCAAGCGCUUCCCACUUGUAGCUAUUGUCUCUCUCCAGAUUUCCUCUACCCAUACGCGGUGUCUAGUAAUCUGUUUACUGGCCUGGGUUUCCUCUCUUUCUCUCUCCCUCUCUCCCCUCCUUUUUUUUUUCUUCUUAGGAAGUAAUUGUAGUACUCGAAUGGAAGGGAGGGAAAAAUGAGUUUGAGAACAUCUGAUAGGCCAAAGUCAUUAGACAUCAGAAGUUUGAGCCUUUUUUUAGCAAAAAGCAAGUCACAUCUCUUCGCAGCUGCUGGGGAUGCGUCCGUGAAAGGAGUGAUUUUUGCCCUCACUGGCGUUUGCAGCCACGAGUGAGCACAGGUUAGCAAAGCAGGUUUGCAAAGGCUCCUUUUUUUCCCCAAAAAAGUGUGAGCCAAAGCAAACUUUGACCAACUGUCCGAAAUUGGGGAAGACGCAGGGUAAAAAUAAUGCACCAGCUAUCUUGAGACCACAGAAAGUAGCAAUGAGUAACAUGGUAAGUCAGGUUGGUAUAAAAUCUACUUCUCUUUUCUUCUUCCAGCCGAUAGUUUCCAUACUGUACGGGCAUGUCUCGGACAAAGGCUUCUUUAUGGCAUUACUUACAGAAAGUUUUUGACCAGAGUUGGGAGGUUACUAACGAAUUUACAUUGCAGUCAAAUAACUGUAGCUUUGGGGCGGGAGGGGGGAUCUUCUCUUCCCAAUGGGAAAAAAAAUUGGGCAUGAUUUAUUGAGAAGAGUUCAAGUACAGGAUUAACCUAAAUCAAAAUAUAACUUCAGAUGUUUACAUAGACCAGCUAAAGCCAACUUUCACAACUCCGAGGUUUUGAUUUCGGGACAAGCGCUGCAAUAUAUUCGGUCACGGAAUGACUCUUCGCAUAACCCUAAAAUCCAUGUUAGUAACCCAAAACACAUCUCACAAGCCUUGAGCUUUGUCCGUUUGCCUGCUGAAAACGCUGUUAAACGUGUUAAGUGUUUUCAUUAUAUCAGGCGAAGGAGUGCGCACCGCGAAGCAAGAGGCGAUGGGGUUGGUGAGGUGUUUUUUUUUUUAAUUAUUAUUUUUUUACUUGCACUUUGCUGUGUCUGGUGGAGGGAAUUUUGGUAGCCUGAAGUCCUUCCCAUGGAAAAGGCUCCGGCGGAGAUGCCAGCAUAAACCCACCACCUAGCUAGGUGGAUAUUUCGGUAUAUAAUUGCAAAGGAGAGGAGGGAAAGGCUCUGUGGUCUCCGCUGGCUUUUCCUUUAUUGCUGAAUUAACAAACUAGCGAAGUUUCUUGCAGUCGGGGCAAUUGCAUCUCAUGUGUACAGUCACAUCGGAGCAACUUCCCGGAGCAAAACAAGACCUUUCCCCCGUCUCAAGUUCGGCUGGCUUUUUUUUUUAAAGAGACUAAAUACAGGUUUUAUUUUAUAUGUUUUUUUUCCCACUCCACGCUCUAAGCUUUUCCAUUCGCCUCGCAUUCACGGCUAGGAAAUGAAGUAGGUUAAAAAUGAACCGGCUUCAAUGUUCUGGAUGCCUAUAAGGGAUAUGCCUUAAAGUCAUUUGACUUUUUUUUUAAGGGGAACCAAAAGGAAUGCGAGACGCCAGCCCUCAUUCGGUUUUAUGGUAGUCACUUUGGUGGUCAAAUUCAAGUGCUGUGACUCCACAGCUGUCUCUUCUGUGCUCCCUUGCAGGAAGCAGGCAAAUCCUCUCCUUUAAACUGGGUUUAAAACACAAAACGACCCCGGGGCUUGUUUCAGAUGCAUUUACCUACGAGGAGCAAUAAAUUAUUCAUGCACCUAGACGUCGGGUGCUAUGCCACACAUGUAUUUUUGUUUGCUCUUCGGGUUUUUUUUUUGGGGGGGGGGGGUUGCUUUGUUUUGUGUUUAAGGAGCAGCCCUGGUCCCGUUUGCUAGCGACGAGCUCGGUUCCUGCUCUGGAUGCAAAGCUUGAUGCCUGCAACCUUGCUAGGGAAUCUGCACUGAAAUGGCUCUGGAAAAAAAUAAAAUGUAUAUUUAACACCCUUUCUCGUUUUAAUCGGAGUUAGAAUAUUCCGCACGCAGGUUGCAAAGAGGAGGGAACUGGGGGGAAAAAAUAAUUGCGCUCAUAAACAAUAGCUUAACAUUAUUAGUUUGUAGUUAGUAUUAAUAUUGGUCCAUAAAAAGCCAAGUUAAAAGAUCGCUGACACUUUAAUUAAAAGUUUUGCCCAAAACGACGUCCAAGUCAUAAAACAGGGCAGACUACAAACCCAAGAAAUCCAUCUCGCCAGCCAGACUCCUUUUCUCUGUAUUCAUCAGCGAAACGGUGCCUUAGCGAGAAAAUCACGGUUCAUUUUGGCAUUACAGACAUAUUUAUAUGGGUGUAUGUAUUUAUCUCUGCGCACACGCACGCCCCGAUCCCUUAUAAAAAGAGCUUUAUGAGAGCGGCUCUCCUUAAACAGAAAACACAAAGCUAAAGGGGGGGGGGGAAGCCAUCCAUAAAUAAAAAUAAAUAAAAAUGAAGGCAUUGCUGCCUUCGGAGGAGGAAAAAGGCUCAAACUGAGGAAGAGCGCACAACCUUAGCAUGCGAAGCCGCCAUGUUUCCCGUCCAGGUUUCGGGAAUAAAUACUUGGAAAUCCGGGCAUCCUGCCUGAUAAGCACCACAGUUUUGAAAGACCUCCUGCAAUACCCACUGUAAUUUUGCUCUGUGAUCUCUAAAUCCUCUGCUCUCUGCUCUGCUGCAAGACACGGACUUGCCAGGCUGCUUUUUUUCUCAAUAAAAAUUAACUUUUUCUUUUCUUUUGCUGUGCAUUCCUUCAGAAUUGCAGGAUAUCUAUCUAUAUAUAUGUAUUAGUGCCUGUAACCUUCGUGCGGUUGCGUGAGGUGCAUUUUGCUCUGAUUUUCUGGCACCCUCGCCUAGGAAUUAAGCAAGCCCCGGGUUAAAACGGGGCGGCAAACAUAAGGUUGCACGAAAUGCAAGGGAAUCAAAUGCAAAAAUUUGAGCGAGGUUAAGGAAAAGGGACCUGUGCAGGGGUGCCCAGCUGCAGGAGGGACAACCCCGAGCAGGACUGGGAGCCUCUGAUGCUCCUUGCUGGUGAAUUGGUUAUUACUGGGCUGAGUUUGGGAGUUGCGUGCGGGGAGCGAGGCGAAACACCGCAGCUUUCCCUCGUCCCAACGAUAUGUCCAGGGUCGGGGCUUUGCCCUUUUUUUCUGCCUGCUGCUUGAUUUGCCUGCAGCUCGAUUUGACAAGAUAUUCCCGAUAAAAGCAUCGCACUCCCUGCCCGUGUGGGGGUCUUGCUGGAAGGACUCAGCCACCAAACUGAGCGGACUUCGGGUUUAGGUGUAGGCGAUGCAAUAUUUUUGUUUAUUCCUCCUUUCACCGGGCGUUGGGAAAGAGUUAAUUCAAGGGGAAAAGAAAAACUCGGGGCAUCCUGUAAAGAAAAGGGGGGAAAAGGGGUUGAGGGGGGGGGGUGCACUGCAUUAUUUUCAUGUCGAGCCGGAAAAAAGAGCCCCCUCGGUUGGAAAUGGAAAUGCUGCGAACCGUGUUUUCCACCUCAGCCGGGCGAUUUCUAAUCCAGGUGAAAAACCCGACGAGCCCCCGGUCGUGGCAAUGUCUCUCGGACAAUUUUGCUCCCCAAAGCGUUUUUCGGGUGAGCCCCCGGCUGAGCUGCCUCUCGGGAGCGCUGGCAGCCCCGAGGUG